AAUGUAGAAUAUCUGAGGGAAGAGGACAUGUUUGUACAUACACAUAAAAUGGGUAUAUUCAGCUCCCUACUUGUUUAACACGAUCUCUCUGUUGAAAUCCAAUAUUUUGUAGUUUUAAAAAGGGCGUAAUAAAUGAAAGUAAUUUAUUGUCAUAAUACUGCUAAUACUGCUACAUAACAACAAAAAAUUAUAGUGGCUUGCAGAAAAAAUGUUUCUUGAUCUCACAUUUGAAAUAUUUAUAGGUGUGUGUGUGUGUAUAUAUAUAUAUAGAGAGAGAGAGAGAGGAAGAGAGAGAGAAAGUAUAAGUUAUAACAGUAAAAUAGCUUGGUUUAUUGUUUGUAUUUAAUGUAAACAAAGUCUACGCUUAACAAAUUAAUGAAGUGAACUGGAAGUGAUACAAAAACACAAUUUUCCAUUGAAAAGAUUAUUGCAGUUUGUAAAAAAAAUUCUUAAAAUCUUAUAUAUAUAUAUAUAUAUAUAUAUAUAUAUAUAUAUAUAUAUGUAGAGAGAGAGAGAGAGAGCUAAACAAGUAGGGAGCUGAAUAUAGCCACUUUAUCUAUCUAUCUAUCUAUCUAUCUAUCUAUCUAUCUAUCUAUCUAUCUAUCUGAGAUCGCUAUUCCAGGCUAACAUAUGCACUCUUAUUUUAUUGACCUCUUGUAUUCUUUAGGUAAAGUCCAAAUGCCUUAGCUGUAAUAUAAAUUCCAUUAUGGUUUAAGGUUCUUAUCCUUUAAGGCAUUCUUUCUAGUUUUGACAUUUACUACUCCACCUCUAACACUCUGCUCUAGCUCACCUGUUCUUAACCUAGGAUACAUCUUUGAAUCACUGAACACAUUAUUUUUUUCUGAAAUAUCUGAGGAAACCUGACAUGUACUGAAUUUGACUUUCAGUUGCCCAGAAGCAGAUACAAAAUACAUUUAUAUUUUGAACAAGUUUUGCAGAUGAUUGUGGUAAUAAACCUUGAUUUAUCAGUUUUUCAUGCUUUUCUUCUUGUCUGAAAUGUGCUUCUUUCUUAAGUCCUUAACCAAUUCAUCUCAACAUAUUGUGCUGAACUAAGUUAUAAUCUCCUGCAGGAAAUUGUCCAUUGCCACUUGUAUGUGAAUUUUGUCCAUUUUAUGUGUCAUUAGUCUUCUUAUGCUAAACCCUAUUAUGAGUACAUUGUAAAGUCUGCUUGCCUUUAUACUAUGAGGCAGCUGUGGGAAGGGACUGUGUCUAAGUUUGAAUUUUCAAAGUAAGGAAAUUUAUAUGGUGCUUGGUGGACAUUGGGUGUGGUGGCUCACGCCUGUAAUCCCAGCACUUUGGGAGGCCGUGGCGGGCAGAUGACUUGAGGUCAGGAGUUCAAGACCAGCCUAACCAACAUGGUGAAACCCUGUCUUUACUAAAAAUAAAAAAAUUAGCUGGGCGUGGUGGCAGGUGCCUGUAAUCUCAGCUACUCGGGGGGCUGAGGCAGGAGAAUCACUUGAAACCGGGAAGCAAAGAUUGCAGUGAGCCGAGAUUGCGCCUCUGCACUCCAGCCUGGGUGACAGAGGAAGAAUCUGUCUCAAAAAAAAAAAAUAAUAAAAAUAAAAAUAAAAGUUAUCAUAAUAUAAUAAAUAAGUAGAGACAUGAAUUACACAGAAUGGAAAUAAGUUUAUCAGUUCAGUGUCAGCUUGUUGGAAACGUAUCUAUUUAUAAGUGUCUUACCAAGGGAUACAAAAAUUUCUGAAAAUAAAGAGAUUCAAAUAAUUGCUAGGAUUUUGUUAAUUUU
rnacentral:lncRNA from 1 species